rnacentral:lncRNA from 1 species
GUGAAACAGAUUGCUUUUGAGUGUCAGUUUUGCAGCCUGAAAAUAGUUGUGAUUUUCACAUAAAGGAGGUUUGGGAAACAAGGAAAUCAGACUGUGACCUCUAUAUUUUCCGCAACAUCAAAAUACUGGGUUUUUGUUGUUUGUUUUGUUUGUUUUGGUAGGUCAUGUAGUUAAAGGCUUGUCCAAGAUAAAAUGAUGAUGAAAGUAAAGUAGUCCCUUGAGGUGCAGCCUCAGUAGUUAUUGUUCUGUUCUGCAGAUGUGUGUAUUAACUUAGCAGUUUCUUAGUAGCCCAAGUGGCUAAUGGCCACAGUGUGAAUGAGAAUAUUACUAUUUCGGUUUUCACAUCUGCCACUAGAAUAGCAAUAAUGAUGCAACUAAUCCUAUGGAGCAGUUUUGAGGCUCCAGAUUGUGUGUUGAGGACUGUGCAUGUAUUUUCUCACUCAAUUCUCACCAAAAUAGUGUGAUAUGGCAGUUUUUAACUUCUCCUUUACAGUGUAGGAAACUGAAACUUGGUAAAGUCAUACAAUAUUGGCAAAACUGGAGGGAUUUUGUUUAUUUUUGUUUUUGUUUUAACUACUGCACCACUUUCCCACUUGCCUAGUUCUUUUUUUUUUUUUUUUUUGGUACUGGGAAUUGAACUCAGGGCACUCAACCACUGAGCCACAUCCCUUGCCCUAUCUUGUAUUUUAUUUAGAAACAGGGUCUCACUGAGUUGCUUAGUGCCUCGCUAAAUUGCUGAGGGUGGCUUUAAACUCGCCAUCCUCCUGCCUCAGUCUCCUGAGCCACUGGGAUUACAGGCAUGCACCACCCUGUCUGCCAUCACUUGCCUAGUUCUUGCAGGGGAGUUUGCAAACUGGCAGCCUGUAUCUAAUUAAUAUAUGUGUUUUGUUUGGCCCCAUUAAAUUUAAUAACAAAAAAAUUAGCUAAUACUCAAACAUUGAAAAAUUCACAAACUGAUCCAGAAGCAAUGUAGCUGUAGUUUCUCAGGGGCAUCAUCGUGAUUAGCAGCUUUCCCUCUUAACUUUAUUGGCUUCACCACUAUUUCCUAAUGUCUUCUCAGCAUGGAAAGCAGUGCCAACUGCCACUUAUCAUAUUUGGGCCUGUGUUCUGCUUACAAUACAGAAAUAAUUCUGUGGGAGCCAACCUUCGAGAUGGCUUCUAGUGAGUCCUAUCUACCUAUGUAGUCACCCACUGUAUUUCAUCAAGGUGGCACUGUGCAACUAGUGAUAUAUGGCAAAAGAAUAUGUCAUUCCUGGGACUAAUUUCCAUUUUGGUGGUGGCAGCACGUUCU